AGAUUGGUGCCUAGCCCAACUGUCAUCAGAGAAGCUUCAUCCAGCAACUGGUGGAAAGUCCCAUAGCCAAACAUCAGGACACCCAGUCAGUGUGUUCAGUUUUCAGAAUGACAAUGUACACAUUGAAGCAGAAUAUUAAAACUCCAGUUCCAAUCUUUUACUUCCAAGGUUAUAGGAAUGCUAACACAUACCUCCUAACUAACACAGGUCAGUCUUAGACGUCUAGGACCAAAUGGUCUUCCAGCUUCACCCUCUUAAGCAGCUGUCACCACAGGUA